rnacentral:rRNA from 1 species
AGGAGUAGAGCAAUUGCUGCACAUCCUAUGCCAGCCGUCUCGAAGUUAUGGAACAAACGAAAUGCUAGGGCCUUCCGCAACACGUCAACAAUGCUGGGCAUCAUCAUUGCAAAUGUAAAAAAUGAGGCAAAGGGUUGGACCGCUGCCAGGGCAAAGCACCUGAGCUUACUCGUGCCGCGAGAGUAG